AUUGAACGCUGGCGGCAGGCCUAACGCAUGCAAGUCGAGCGGGGUUUUCGGACCUAGCGGCGGACGGGUGAGUAAUGCGUAGGAAGCUGCCCGAUAGAGGGGGAUACCAGUUGGAAACGACUGUUAAUACCGCAUAAUGUCUACGGACCAAAGUGUGGGACCUUCGGGCCACAUGCUAUCGGAUGCGCCUACGUGGGAUUAGCUAGUUGGUGAGGUAAUGGCUCACCAAGGCGACGAUCUCUAGCUGGUUUGAGAGGAUGAUCAGCCACACUGGAACUGGGACACGGUCCAGACUCCUACGGGAGGCAGCAGUGGGGAAUAUUGGACAAUGGGCGCAAGCCUGAUCCAGCCAUGCCGCGUGUGUGAAGAAGGCCUUCGGGUUGUAAAGCACUUUCAGCGAGGAGGAAGGGGUAGUAGUUAAUAGCUGCUACUUUUGACGUUACUCGCAGAAGAAGCACCGGCUAACUCUGUGCCAGCAGCCGCCGUAACAC
rnacentral:rRNA from 1 species